rnacentral:lncRNA from 1 species
GCCCAAUGUGAUUAUGACAUUUUGUCCAAAAAAGACAAAUAAUUUGUGGUGUACAAAUUUAAAAAGAAAUGCUUCAUUAUUCACGGCACAAAUUGCAAGAAACCAAUUUCAUGAAAUAAACUAUUCACACAUCCACAUGAAUGAGAAGCACAUAGGCCCCCACAAUAUACAAUUACAAAGGGCCUUCUUCUAAAAAAGAACAAC